UACGUAGGGCGCAAGCGUUGUCCGGAAUUAUUGGGCGUAAAGAGCUCGUAGGCGGCUUGUCACGUCGGGUGUGAAAGCCCGGGGCUUAACCCCGGGUCUGCAUUCGAUACGGGCUAGCUAGAGUGUGGUAGGGGAGAUCGGAAUUCCUGGUGUAGCGGUGAAAUGCGCAGAUAUCAGGAGGAACACCAGUGGCGAAAGCGGCUUCCUGGUCCAGCACCGACGUUCAGGCACGAAAGCGUGGGGAGCAAACAGG
rnacentral:rRNA from 1 species